UCCCAUAAUUUAGCAGCAGUAGUGGUGGUGACCGAGAACUCUUCGGCCUAUGCUAGUCUACACCGAUGAAGGUAUAAAUAAAGCAAGUGUGAAGAGAUGAGUCUGAAGGUCCAGAGCUUUAAGAUUUGCUCCGGGAGAUGCUGGGAGGAGCCCGGAGCUGACAGAUCAUAUGGUUGCAGUAAGAAUCAAGGUCAGUUGAGUCCUCAGGCGGCCCGGAUCCCCAUGGGGAUGUAACGGAUUGCUCGGCUUUAUACUGAAUUCCCCAAGGCCAAGCCCCCGUCACGAGCCGAGAGCUAACGCGCGCCCUCCGAUUGGAUCAGCAAAGCCGUUUUACGCCCAACUUUCCCUUCUCCCUAAGAGACCUUUCCAUGUGGCA